CCCUUAGAUGUCCUGGGCCGCACGCGUGCUACACUGACGCCUACAGCGAGUACUUCCCAGCCCCGAGAGGCGGCUGGUAAUCAGCAAUAGGCGUCGUGAUGGGGAUAGAUCUUUGGAAUUAUGGAUCUUGAACGAGGAAUGCCUAGUAAGCGCAGGUCAUUAGCCUGCGCUGAUUACGUCCCUGCCCUUUGUACACACCGCCCGUCGCUACUACCGAUUGAACGUUUUAGUGAGGUACUCGGACUGAGCCUCAGAAGAUUCACGUCUUUUGUGCUGCUCGGGAAGAUUCCCAAACUUGAGCGUUUAGAGGAAGUAAAAGUCGUAACA
rnacentral:rRNA from 1 species